rnacentral:snRNA from 1 species
AAACUUACCUGACGUGAGAGGCACCUUGAUCAACUAGGAGGUCCUCUCAGGAUGAGCCCUUUCAUUGCACUUCGACUGGGUUGACUCCUGCGAUUACCCCUAAUGUGGGUAACUCGAGCGUAUAAUUUCUGGUAGUGGGAACCUACAUUCGCGCUCGUCCCCU